UGUUAAACUCGCAGACAUGUCAAUGGUAGUCAAUUGAUCCAUCACGUUGCGGAGGGCCACUGGGCUUAGAGAAGGCCAAAGCGGCUUGAUCCUCCUCAAAUCCAAAGCAAACAGGCACAACAUGGCCGCCCUGAUGCGCCGCAGCCUCGGGGCCUGAAAACAGGAGUUCCCCUGAGCAGCUAUCAAAAGCUUUGCUUCCCGCCAAGUGCAAAGGCCUCACGAUCCCCUGGAGUCUCAGAGGGCGAGGAAGACACGACCGGAGUCAACAACCUUCGUCUGUCCUUUUCAAGACCUUUACCCGCUCAGAGCAAAGCGUCUCAAUGAAUCCAGAACUUUCACUGUAAAUAUACAUAUUGAAGCCAUUACUCGAGGAGUUUGGAUGAGUCAAACGAUGAAGAAUGGCAUUACUCGAGCAGCAAAAAAGACAAGUCUUUCUUUUGAAGACGAUACUCCGUCUCCGGUUGUCGGUUGUGUUUUGCUUCCCUGAAAACAUGCACUUCAGAGAAGGUGCCUUGUGAAAGUCUCUGGAGUCCCCUGAUCCCGUCCCCUUGACUCUGCUCAUUGUUUUUGGCAGAGCAGCUGCUUCGAGAUUUAGAUAUCAUCAUUCAGGCCGGAGGAUGGGACAUGGAGACAUGUCCCCCGGGGAGUCUGCAGAGCACGGAGAGGCACAAUGUGAGAUGCGUGUGUCGGACACAAUUUGAUAAAGAGUCUGUGAGUAAGUGACAGCGAAAUGCCUCCCAAGUGAAGCCUCGCGCUGCGUGUCAUCCCCCCCCCCCCCCCCCC